rnacentral:rRNA from 1 species
UUGAUCCUGCCAGAGGCGACCGCUAUUGGAGUUCGAUUAAGCCAUGCGAGUAGAAAGAAAUUAGAUUCUUUGCAUACUGCUCAGUAACACGUGGAUAACCUGCCCUACACUGGGGGAUAAUCUCGGGAAACUGAGCAUAAUACCCCAUAGACCACUACGCCUGGAACGGUGAGUGGUUGAAAGCUUCGGCGGUGUAGGAUGGGUCUGCGGCGUAUCAGGUUGUAGGGGGUGUAAUGGACCUCCUAGCCAUCGACGCGUACGGGUUGUGGGAGCAAUAGCCCGGAGACGGAUUCUGAGACACGAAUCCGGACCCUACGGGGUGCAGCAGGCGCGAAAACUUCACACUGCAGGAAACUGUGAUGAGGGAACUCCAAGUGACUGCACAAUGUGUAGCCUUUUCUUGAAUUUUAAUAGUUCUUGGAAUAAGGGCUGGGAAAGACCGGUGCCAGCCGCCGCGGUAAUACCGGCAGCUCGAGUGGUCGUCGCUUUUAUUGGGCCUAAAACGUCCGUAGCCUGUUUGGUAAAUCUGUGGGUAAAUCAAUCCGCUUAACGGAUUGAAUUCUGCAGAGACUGCCAGACUAGGGACCGGGAGAGGUAUGAGGUACUCUGGGGGUAGGGGUAAAAUCCUGUCAUCCUCAGAGGACCACCUGUUGCGAAGGCGUCAUACUGGAACGGAUCCGACGGUCAGGGACGAAGCCUAGGGGCACGAACCGGAUUAGAUACCCGGGUAGUCCUAGGUGUAAACGCUGUGGAUUUGGUGUGUGGGGGUCCGCAAUGGGCCCCAUGUGCCGGAGUGAAGAUGUUAAAUCCACUGCCUGGGGAGUACGGUCGCAAGGCUGAAACUUAAAGGAAUUGGCGGGGGAGCACUGCAACGGGAGGAGCGUGCGGUUUAAUUGGAUUCAACGCCGGAAAACUCACCAAGGCCGACUGUUAGAUGAAGAUCAGCGUAACGAGCUUAUUGGAUUAUCAGAGAGGUGGUGCAUGGCCGUCGUCAGUUCGUACUGUAAAGCGUUCUGUUAAGUCAGAUAACGAACGAGACCCGCAUCCUUAUUUGCGACCCUCAUGUCCGCAUGAGGCGCACCAUAGGGAGAUCGCUGGUGUGAAACCAGAUGAGAGCGCGGGCAACGACAGGUCAGUAUGCCCCGAAUGUCUUGGGCUACACGCGCGCUACAAAGGACAGGACAAUGGGAAGCCACGCCGAGAGGCGGCGCUACCCCGAAACCUGUUCGUAGUUCGGAUCGAGGGCUGUAACUCGCCCUCGUGAAGCUGGAUUCCGUAGUAAUCGUGUUUCAACAUAGCACGGUGAAUAUGCCCCUGCUCCUUGCACACACC